GAUGAACGCUGGCGGCGUGCCUAAUACAUGCAAGUCGAGCGAACGGACGAGAAGCUUGCUUCUCUGAUGUUAGCGGCGGACGGGUGAGUAACACGUGGAUAACCUACCUAUAAGACUGGGAUAACUUCGGGAAACCGGAGCUAAUACCGGAUGAUAUUUUGAACCGCAUGGUUCAAAAGUGAAAGACGGUCUUGCUGUCACUUAUAGAUGGAUCCGCGCUGCAUUAGCUAGUUGGUAAGGUAACGGCUUACCAAGGCAACGAUGCAUAGCCGACCUGAGAGGGGGAUCGGCCACACUGGAACGGAGACACGGUCCAGACUCCUACGGGAGGCAGCAGUAGGGAAUUUUCCGCAAGGGGGGAAAGCCUGACGGAGCAACGCCGGGGGGGUGAUGAAGGUCUUCGGAUCGUAAAACUCUUUUAUUAGGGAAAAAAAAUUGUGAAAGUAACUGUCCACAAUUUGACGGUACCUAAUCAAAAAGCCACGGCUAACUACGU
rnacentral:rRNA from 1 species